rnacentral:rRNA from 1 species
UGGGGAAUUUUGGACAAUGGGCGAAAGCCUGAUCCAGCAAUGCCGCGUGUGUGAAGAAGGCCUUCGGGUUGUAAAGCACUUUUGUCCGGAAAGAAAUCCUUGGCUCUAAUACAGUCGGGGGAUGACGGUACCGGAAGAAUAAGCACCGGCUAACUACGUGCCAGCAGCCGCGGUAAUACGUAGGGUGCAAGCGUUAAUCGGAAUUACUGGGCGUAAAGCGUGCGCAGGCGGUUUGCUAAGACCGAUGUGAAAUCCCCGGGCUCAACCUGGGAACUGCAUUGGUGACUGGCAGGCUAGAGUAUGGCAGAGGGGGGUAGAAUUCCACGUGUAGCAGUGAAAUGCGUAGAGAUGUGGAGGAAUACCGAUGGCGAAGGCAGCCCCCUGGGCCAAUACUGACGCUCAUGCACGAAAGCGUGGGGAGCAAACAGGAUUAGAUACCCCUGGUAGUCCACGCCCUAAACGAUGUCAACUAGUUGUUGGGGAUUCAUUUCCUUAGUAACGUAGCUAACGCGUGAAGUUGACCGCCUGGGGAGUACGGUCGCAAGAUUAAAACUUAAAUGAAUUG